CACACAACAAUCUUUGAGCUCCUUCCCUACCUGUUGCGCCCCAUCUUCCUCUCUUGGCGGCAUCCGGUUAUGCAUCUGGGCUGCAGCUCAGCUCAAGUAGUUGACGGGGGCGGAGUGGCCUCGGCAGCGGCGUGGAGUGGAUUCGACGGUGAUGAUCUGCUUCCAAGCCAAGUCUGAUGCCGUGCACGGCCGCCUCCUGGUUCUCUUCCGCACGCAGCCAAGGCCACGACAGCGAGCCUCGACCUUGCGUGGCCCAUGAGAAGCAGGCGCAAGGCCGGUUCAGGGUGACGGCUAGGGUGCGUGCAUGGUGGUGCUAAUUCUGUGCUCGCAUCACAUGAUGGCGGUGAUUUGCCAAAUUGGGUUUUGAAAUCAUGCGACGUGCGGCCGAAGAUAGAAACCGGUGAGAAUGAUUCUGGUGGCUGGAGUUUUGCUUUAUUUGGAUUUGGGAUCUAAUUCGAGGAAAAUUUGGAAUUUAGGGUUUGUGCAAAUUGGGUAUUUUUCCUAGAACCAAUUUUUGUAUUUUUAUAUGUUGUAUAUAUGCAAGUUGUCCUAGUGUAACACGAACCGGUUUAAAUUUAGCCCAAUUUAUGUAAAAUCCUGAUCGG
rnacentral:sRNA from 1 species